rnacentral:rRNA from 1 species
AUGAACGCUAGCUACAGGCUUAACACAUGCAAGUCGAGGGGCAGCAUUUUAGUUUGCUUGCAAACUGAAGAUGGCGACCGGCGCACGGGUGAGUAACACGUAUCCAACCUGCCGAUAACUCCGGAAUAGCCUUUCGAAAGAAAGGUUAAUACCGGAUAGCAUACGAAUAUCGCAUGAUAUUUUUAUUAAAGAAUUUCGGUUAUCGAUGGGGAUGCGUUCCAUUAGUUUGUUGGCGGGGUAACGGCCCACCAAGACUACGAUGGAUAGGGGUUCUGAGAGGAAGGUCCCCCACAUUGGAACUGAGACACGGUCCAAACUCCUACGGGAGGCAGCAGUGAGGAAUAUUGGUCAAUGGGCGAGAGCCUGAACCAGCCAAGUAGCGUGAAGGAUGAAGGCUCUAUGGGUCGUAAACUUCUUUUAUAUGGGAAUAAAGUUUUCCACGUGUGGAAUUUUGUAUGUACCAUAUGAAUAAGGAUCGGCUAACUCCGUGCCAGCAGCCGCGGUAAUACGGAGGAUCCGAGCGUUAUCCGGAUUUAUUGGGUUUAAAGGGAGCGUAGGUGGAUUGUUAAGUCAGUUGUGAAAGUUUGCGGCUCAACCGUAAAAUUGCAGUUGAAACUGGCAGUCUUGAGUACAGUAGAGGUGGGCGGAAUUCGUGGUGUAGCGGUGAAAUGCUUAGAUAUCACGAAGAACUCCGAUUGCGAAGGCAGCUCACUAGACUGUCACUGACACUGAUGCUCGAAAGUGUGGGUAUCAAACAGGAUUAGAUACCCUGGUAGUCCACACAGUAAACGAUGAAUACUCGCUGUUUGCGAUAUACAGUAAGCGGCCAAGCGAAAGCAUUAAGUAUUCCACCUGGGGAGUACGCCGGCAACGGUGAAACUCAAAGGAAUUGACGGGGGCCCGCACAAGCGGAGGAACAUGUGGUUUAAUUCGAUGAUACGCGAGGAACCUUACCCGGGCUUAAAUUGCAACAGAAUAUAUUGGAAACAGUAUAGCCGUAAGGCUGUUGUGAAGGUGCUGCAUGGUUGUCGUCAGCUCGUGCCGUGAGGUGUCGGCUUAAGUGCCAUAACGAGCGCAACCCUUAUCUUUAGUUACUAACAGGUUAUGCUGAGGACUCUAGAGAGACUGCCGUCGUAAGAUGUGAGGAAGGUGGGGAUGACGUCAAAUCAGCACGGCCCUUACGUCCGGGGCUACACACGUGUUACAAUGGGGGGUACAGAAGGCGGCUACCUGGUGACAGGAUGCUAAUCCCAAAAACCUCUCUCAGUUCGGAUCGAAGUCUGCAACCCGACUUCGUGAAGCUGGAUUCGCUAGUAAUCGCGCAUCAGCCAUGGCGCGGUGAAUACGUUCCCGGGCCUUGUACACACCGCCCGUCAAGCCAUGAAAGCCGGGGGUACCUGAAGUACGUAACCGCAAGGAGCGUCCUAGGGUAAAACUGGUAAUUGGGGCU